GAUAGUUAUAGGCGCUUCUGGUUUCCUGCACGUCGCCCAACAUAACAACUGUCGAGACAGAGUGACGUCAUGGUAGAAGUUUUGUGUCUGGACUCUGGAGACAGUAACCAUAAUAUCAUCAUAUUGUCAGCUCCAUGGCUGAUUUUAUAGCGGAGAAAAGUUUCAAAGAUGUCAGAUGGUAUCUGCACAACAUUGCGACUGUAAAUAGAGAUAGUGCAAAUGAGCUGAAAGGAUGUGGGUCGCGAGCUGCCUGAACGAAUAUUCUGGAAAGAUUUUCAACGAUUCUUAAUAUUUGUUAUGUUUGAUUGCGAACAGUAGAGGGUUAAAAGGUUUGGAUGCUAAGUUAGCGUGUUGUUUGUAGUAUUGUAGUCUCUUUUAUUAUCCUCUUAUUCUUUUUAAACAAUGCCUAACAAACUGGAAAAAUAAUAAAAUUUGUUUAUUUUUUUUGUUAAAGAUCUUUGUGAUGCAGUACU